AUUCAAAUAUUUUGAUGUAAAUUCACAAUCAGUGGACUGACCUGCUACGUUUUUGAAUUUUAAAGCGACCAACGGAGGCAUGUGAUGCUUAUCGCCAUAGUAAGGAAAGUAUUCAACUGGAAAUCUCGGACUUGGAAAAAAAUUGGCAGCCUACUGACAGUCUCGAUUCACGUCUAGAACAUAGAACCUGAUGAUGCAUCUGAAAUAUGCAUUUGUCAAUUAUUAACAUACAAACAUCAUUUAGUAUAUAUCUAUGAGUUUAGUAUUUCUCAACGUAAUUAGCAUAAUAUUUAAAUGGUAAUUCCAUAGAUAUAUUAAGCGAAUGAAAGAUGAUGUCUGGAGUAUUGCAAAACAUUUAUUGUGAGAAAACAUAUCUUCGUACAAAUGAGAUCGAUGUACAUAAUGAUGAGUUGACAUUUAUUUAUCAAUGUUGAUUUGAUUUAGCAAUAAACUACAAGUACCCUCAGAA